rnacentral:rRNA from 1 species
GACGAACGCUGGCGGCGUGCCUAAUACAUGCAAGUAGAACGCAGUUGCGAACGGGUGAGUAACGCGUCGGUAACUGCCUGGUAGCGGGGGAUAACUAUUGGAACCGAUAGCUAAUACCGCAUCCUACCAGAUGGACCUGCGUUGUAUUAGCUAGUUGGUGAGGUAACGGCUCACCAAGGCAACGAUACAUAGCCGACCCUGGAGGGUGAACGGCCACACUGGGAAUGGGACACGGGCCAGACUUCUACGGGAGGCAGCAGGAGGGAAUCGUUGGAAAUGGGGGGAACCCUGACCAAGCAACGGCGGGUGAGUGAAGAAGGUUUUCGGAUCGUAAAGCUCUGUUGUUAAGGAAGCGGUACUUAACCAGAAAGGGACGGCUAACUACGUGCCAGCAGCCGCGGUAAUAC